UACGUAGGGUGCGAGCGUUGUCCGGAAUUACUGGGCGUAAAGAGUUCGUAGGCGGUUUGUCGCGUCGUUUGUGAAAACCCGGGGCUCAACUUCGGGCUUGCAGGCGAUACGGGCAGACUUGAGUGUUUCAGGGGAGACUGGAAUUCCUGGUGUAGCGGUGAAAUGCGCAGAUAUCAGGAGGAACACCGGUGGCGAAGGCGGGUCUCUGGGCCGCAACUGACGCUGAGGAGCGAAAGCAUGGGGAGCGAACAGG
rnacentral:rRNA from 1 species